rnacentral:lncRNA from 10 species
UUUCUUGCUCACUCACUAUGAGGGAAGCCAGCCACCAUACUGUGAGCUGCCUUACGGAGGAACCCACGUGGGAAUAAACUGAGGGAGACCUCAGCUAGGUUAAGAUCUGAGGUCUUCUCACAGCUGUGUUAUGAGCUUAGAAGAUAAUUUUCCCCCAGUCAAGCCUUUAGAUGAGACCACACCAGACCAACAGCAGGACUGCAACCUUCUGAGAGACCUUGACCCAGAGGUACCUAGCUAAGCCACAACCAGAUCCCUGACCCACAAAAAUUGUGAGAAGUGAAGCAGCAAUUCCUGUUCAUUUCCUGGCGGCCCACUCCUAGGAGUUGCAAACAAGAUGUUUUCUAUGGAUGCUCUUUAUCUUUGGAAUCCUCUUCCUUCCUGGACUGGAAACUGCAGAAUCAAAAUCUCUUGGCCUUCCACAAAGCCUUUUCUAAGGUGAUCUGAUAUUCCCCUCUGGCUCUGGUAUUAGAGCUAUAAGAAAGACAUGCUCCCACAUCCCACUGCAAUCUCUAUAGGACUCACUUCAUUAACUGAUGAAGCCAGUGGCGUGAAUGUAAUCGCCCAGAGCACAUGUGUUAGGUAAAAUGGUCCAAGGACAGAGCUUUGUGAACACCAACACUGAAGAAAGGAACAGUGGUUUAGGCACCCACAGAAGAUGCAAGAAGCAAGAGGCACAGAGCAGAAGGAAAACCAGGAGGAGCUACAAAGGAAAAUACCUCAUGAAGAAAGGACUGAUCCAGUAUUAAAUAUGAAAGGAAAGUCAAAUACAAUAAAAACUAAAAAGAAUAUUCUAAAUUCAACAAUGGGGAAGAAAUGAGUAUCUUUGGUUUACCAGUUGAGAUAAAUAGAUUAUGUUGCGUUAACAAAUGACCCCACAUACUAACAGCUCGUGAUAUCAUAGAGGCUUAUUUCUUGCUCUCAUUGUGUGUCCACUAUGAAUUAUUGGCUACUGAUCUGUUCAGGUCCUUCUCACUCUAAGAUCCAGGCAGAAAGGAUAGCCUCCAUCUAGAAGGAAAAGAUCAAAGGAGGAAUCAUGCAAUGAAUCUUAGAGCUUCUGCUUGGAAAUGUGGCAAACAUGAUUUUACUCACAUUUUAUUGACCGAGGCAAGUCAUAUAGCCAAGCCUGAUGUCAAAUGAACAAGGAUAAUCAGAAAGUUGUCUGGUAGAGAGGAGGUGAUAAAAAGAAGUUCCACGGGGAGUGACAGAAAACAUUUGUGCACAAUAACACAGUCUCCCACACUGGGCAAAAGACAUGGUGUAUAUAAAAAAUUACUAUGGAAGAAGUAAUUCAUUAUGGCUUUAUCCCUAAUUUACCCAAUGCAGAGCUAUUAUUAUCAUUAUUAACCUUCUGUGUCUCCAUCAUGUCAUCCCCAUAUUCAAGAGCCAUUGUUCCCUCUAUUUUGUUCAACUCAGACCUGAUCCUUGUUUGCAUUCAGCUCCUACCAUCCCUUUUCUCACCUACUAAGUUACUCUUACCACUCUCUAUCUCAAGGGACUUUCUUUUUUCCCCCAAUCCCUGUCUCUCAGCUCCUUAUGAGCCCACCUCAAAGCCACUCUGCAGAAAGCCAUCUUAGAUUAAAGCAACUCAGCCCUAACAAACUCCUCUGUUGUACAGUACGUCCUGUAUUAUUUGGUCCCAACACAAUGUGCUAUGUAAAUGCCUGGUGGUGGUUUCAAAUGUGAAUGUGUGUAUAAAACGUUUUGGGAAGACUGAGAUUGAGGUGCAGGAGGGGGUGAGGUGGGAGAAUAUGGGUUCUGGGCUAGUUACCCUCUGGGUUUCUCUCUAAAUCUGUUCUCCAUCAUUCCCUGCCUUGUUCUGUGCCCCAGGAGGCUGACUUCCAUAGAUGGUAAAACCAGAUUUCCUUACCUUCUGGCUGCCAGUGGGUUCAGCCAAUGGGAGGCACCAGUAUGAAGACUGGAAGAUCAGAGAGGAACCAGGGUAUUUAUGCUCUCCCACACCCAACCCCCGCCCUGCUCUGACCCUGGCAGUGGCCAGAUGCUGUGGAUUGAGCUUCUGUCAGGCAACCUCUCUUCCACUAUUCAAGCUCCAGUGGCGCUAUUCCUGUCUCUUGUUUCUUCAAGCUAGGUCAUGGUCUUUUAUAUUGCAAAUUCCAUAACUGGAACCUGAGAGAAGGAGGGCCAACCCCUUCCACUCCUACCCACAACAUUCAUACACUUUAAGGCAUUUUGUUGGUCACCUUUCACCUAUACUUCCCUCUGGAUCCUUAUAUCCUCCUCUUUAAGUUCAAGUCGUCUAGCUGUAUUGAGAGGCUAGCAUGAAGCCUCUCUGAUGGCUAAACAAGACCCCUGCCUCCCAAAGGACAGAUGCCUGACUGGAGUGAUGGCUCAUGUGGUCUAGAGAAUUCAUGUUUCUAAAAAGCCAUUGGCCUGAAUCUAACUAUAUAAACAUGCAUUCAUAAAAUCAUGAUGCAGAAGACUUAGUAAUCCCAGUAAAGUUAUCUAGCCUUAUUAAAGUGGAAAACAACAUAGUGACCAUCCCUAGAUGACCAUGCUAAAGCUUUAAAAAUCAAAUUGAACAAAGUAUAUAAAAGUCCCAAAGAAAUGAUAGGUUUAGAAGUCCUCAAAGGUCACCUUAAUUUCCUCAUGCUCCAGUAAUUCCACUUUGGAAAAAAGUAGGGUAUAAAUUAAUCAACAUGUGGUCAUGGAAGUUAUCUAAGGCCUUGCCACUCGAAGUGGCCUACAAACCAGCAACAUCAGCAUACCCAGGAGCUUGUCAGAAAUGCAGACUCUGAGGUGCUCCCAGACCUGCUGGUCACAGUCUGCAUAUUAAUCUAACAGGAUUACCAGGUGAUUCCUUUGCCCAUUGACACUGGAGAAGCACUGGUCUAAAAGAGUUCUCAAACUAUCCGGGAUGAAGAAGCAGUUGUUGUUGUUUUUUUUGUUUUGUUUUGUUUGUUUUUUUGGUUGCCCCUCCCCCAGUCUGUUGUGCACUGAUACCUUAGAAAAUAUAAUAAAAAUGAAUUACUAGAAUAAUGAAAAAAGAGAUCUACAAAAUACAAAGUCAGACUUUUUAUUAGUAGAUUCAGACAACACAUAAUUAUGCUAUCAAAUUGCUGUAGAAAUCUUUUAAUGCAUGCAGUCUAUUUCUCUAGAUUCCUUGUCAUUGACAAAUAUCAGGUCACAGAUGGACAGCAGACUAUGGAUCACACUGAGUAGUGCUGCUCUAAGUUAUUGUCAUUUUGCAGGCAAUCAACAGAGGAAACCGAAGCCUAGACAAAUAAUAUACCUGAGGUGACAAAGCUGGUUCACAGGAGAGCCAGAAUUGAGACUUAUAUCUCCCAAAUUGUUUCCAACAGACCAUAUUAAUCCUUUUGUUUUCUUUUUUUUUUUUUUUUUUUUUUUUUAGUAUUUAUUGAUCAUUCUUGGGUGUUUCUCACAGAGGGGGAUUUGGCAGGGUCACAGGACAAUCGUGGAGGGAAGGUCAGCAGAUAAACAAGUGAACAAAGGACAGACCAUAUUAAUCCUAAGAAACUUUUAAACUUUUAUUGAACACUUGAUUUGAGCCAGGUACAGUGUUUUACAGGGAUUGUCUUGUAGUCACCCCCAUUCCUGUGAAGUUGAUGCUGUCAAUGCCCUCAUUUUACAGUUGAGAAACCUGAGGUUUAGAGAGGUUAAUAUCUUUCACAAGUUUCCAUGACUGAGUGGUGAAGAUGAAAUUGGAACCCAAGUUUAACCACAAUUAAAGAAAAUGUGCUUGUAUUAGGGGUCUCCAGAGAAACAGAACCAAUAGGAUAUAUAUUUAUCUGUCUAUCUAUCUAUCUAUCUAUCUGAGAGUUUGUUUAUUUAUUUAUUUAUUUAUUUUGAAACAGAAUCUUGUUCUGUGGCCCAGGUUGGAAUGCAGUGGCAUGAUCUCAGCUCACUGCAAUCUCUGCCUCCUGGGUUCAAGU